rnacentral:rRNA from 1 species
UGGUGGGUAGUUUGACUGGGGCGGUCUCCUCCUAAAGAGUAACGGAGGAGCACGAAGGUUGGCUAAUCCUGGUCGGACAUCAGGAGGUUAGUGCAAUGGCAUAAGCCAGCUUGACUGCGAGCGUGACGGCGCGAGCAGGUGCGAAAGCAGGUCAUAGUGAUCCGGUGGUUCUGAAUGGAAGGGCCAUCGCUCAACGGAUAAAAGGUACUCCGGGGAUAACAGGCUGAUACCGCCCAAGAGUUCAUAUCGACGGCGGUGUUUGGCACCUCGAUGUCGGCUCAUCACAUCCUGGGGCUGAAGUAGGUCCCAAGGGUAUGGCUGUUCGCCAUUUAAAGUGGUACGCGAGCUGGGUUUAGAACGUCGUGAGACAGUUCGGUCCCUAUCUGCCGUGGGCGCUGGAGAACUGAGGGGGGCUGCUCCUAGUACGAGAGGACCGGAGUGGACGCAUCACUGGUGUUCGGGUUGUCAUGCCAAUGGCACUGCCCGGUAGCUAAAUGCGGAAGAGAUAAGUGCUGAAAGCAUCUAAGCACGAAACUUGCCCCGAGAUGAGUUCUCCCUGAGACUUAGAGUCUCCUGAAGGAACGUUGAAGACGACGACGUUGAUAGGCCGGGUGUGUAAGCGCAGCGAUGCGUUGAGCUAACCGGUACUAAUG